GGGGCCCUAGCUCAGUCGGUUAGAGCAGCGGACUCAUAAUCCGUCGGUCCAGGGUUCAAGCCCCUGGGGCCCCA
rnacentral:tRNA from 1 species